UACGUAGGGUGCAAGCGUUAAUCGGAAUCACUGGGCGUAAAGGGUGCGUAGGCGGGUUUUUAAGUCAGGGGUGAAAUCCUGGAGCUCAACUCCAGAACUGCCUUUGAUACUGAAGAUCUUGAGUCCGGGAGAGGUGAGUGGAACUGCGAGUGUAGAGGUGAAAUUCGUAGAUAUUCGGAAGAACACCAGUGCGAAGGCGACUCGCUGGACAAGUAUUGACGCUGAGGGUGCGAAAAGCGUGGGGGAGCGAACAGG
rnacentral:rRNA from 1 species